GUAACUAGACCUCCGAUGAUGCUUCUCUUUGCUUCUUCAGUACUCAUUUCUUAUUGUUUGGUUUUCCCUUUGAGCUGAAGUGAUUUGGGUUCUUGGUAUAAAGUGGAAAAGAGAAGAAGAAGAAGAAAAACACUUGAAAAAUGACUCCGGCAUGGGUGGAUGGUAAAUUUCGAAUGGGCACGAAAUUACUUUUACAUGGUAAAUUUCGAAUGAUAUUGUACUAUUUUAAUAAUAUAAAAUUAAUGAUCUAAUUAAAAUAAAUAAAUAAAAAAUGUAAAAUUAGAUGAUGAUUUGUAUUUUUAAGUGAUUGGAAUAGAGAAUUUAUAUAUGUAAACUCCCAAUUAGUUUAAUACCUAUUCAAACACCUAUAAACAUCAAUAGUAACAAAAGUGAACAAUAUAUCAUCAAAAUUAAUAUUGUAUAAUUGCAAUUGAAUAAAUUAAAAAUUCAUGAAAAUUAGAUUACUAUUUGUAUUAUUAUCCGAAAACUUUAAAUUUAUUCAGGAAUGGUAAUUCAAUGUUGUUAAUCAAUCUAUUUACAAAUAACAUAAAAUAAAAUAAAAAAUCUAUUUGAACAUUAUAUAAAAUUAAUCUACACUAAUUUUAUACCAUUAACUCUUAUGCAUGCAAUGGCUCAAAUUUAUAAAACUUUUCCAAAACAAAAGAAAAAAAAACUCUAUACGAUGUCUUUUAUUUAAUAAACUACCCAAUUUUAAUUGAUUUUUCGUAUGUGUAUAUAUAUAUUCAAGAUGGAAACUAAUCAUGAAUCAUCACCGACCGACUGUGUAUUAAAGAUGCAAAGAAAGUGAAACUACGAAAAUAAUUGUGACAAGAGGAAUAGGGAACCAGAUGCUGCCAAAAAAGCAAAGCCACUUGUUAUUAAUUUACAAUAAUAUUUUCAGGGAAACCUAAAAGCUAUUUUAAGAGAUUAGUUUUGUGAGAUGGUGAAACAUCAGUCUAAAACUUGUUAAUUUUACAAGCGUAAUUGAUACGUAAACAGCACCAAUUUCUUACACAUUGAGGUCUUCGAAAAAUCAUCAAUUAUGCUUCAUCAUCAUCAGUGUCUUGCACAACUCUAUCCCUCCUCAUUCUCUUGCCAUUAGGCAAACCACAUCCAUCCUCGCCCUCGGACUCAGAUUCCUCUGCAAUCUCAGGACUGUCUUUUCGUCGUGAGGAAAAUUUGUCUGAUACAUUAUCUUCGGAAUCUUCAUGUGAUCUAUCCACAUUAGCACCAACUGCAUCGUCAUUAUUAUGUUCAUGAUUUAAAUCAGCUUCUUCCUUGUCGUUGGGAGGAUCUAAUAUUCUGAAAUCCCUGGAAGUGCUACGCUUGGCAUGCUUCAGUAAAUUGACUUUACUUGCCUUGCUGAGCCGGAUGAGAUACUUCUCAUAAUCUUCUAUUUGGAAGAUCAGCUCAGGUAUGCAUUUAUUCUCCCUUUUAAUCUUGUUAAUGAUACCCUUAGUAUUAGGCUUUUCUUGUUGUACCUGCAAGUCCCGUCUAAUAGAAUCCAUGAAAAUGAUUUUGAAAGAUAAACAUAUAAUGCAGUGUCAUUUCUGUUCAAAGAGAUGAUAGACAGAAGAAAUUCGUCAUAAAAUUAAGGACAAUACCCUUUGAAUCUCCGCAACGAAUUUAUAAAGAGGAACUGUAAGCUUCUUGCAGGUUACUUCUACAAGCCUCUGGAAAGUUGGAGUAGGUAGAAGUUGCUUGCAUCCCUUAGUAGCAAUCCUAAGCCUUGAAAUCUGAGCCAAAUGCUUGUAAAACUUCGCAAUCAAUCUUAAUAGAUGCUCUGCUUGAGGGUCUGUUUACGUAUGUAUUUAAGGAUGAAUUACAUAAAUAGAGAAAUAAAUGUGAUAGAUUAGUUUUAGUACAAAUUGCUUACUUACCCUUUAGGUUCAUCAAAACAAAGAAAGAUAAUACUUUCACCACUGCUUCAGCCCUCAAGUAAAGAUUAUCCUCAACGGUCAAUCCUGGAGCAUGUUCUCCACUCUGACUAACAUGAAUGUAUCUCUGUUCAAUCAAAAAGAAUGUCUUUAAUUUUUUGAUGGUCCAAUCCAUAUCAUUGAUAACGGCUUCAAUCAGUUUCAGUAUGCAUGAACUUAUAGCAGUGCUUGUUGACUGGUUUAUGAUGGGGCACGAUUCAGAUAUUUCUAAUGGCUUGUUACUCUCCGGUCCAAUAAAUCCAGUGACAUCCAGUAGCUCCUUAGACAUGUCAUGGGCCACAAUCAAAUCAUCUGGAGGAGAACUUAAAGAAAUUGCUAGAGCAGCCACACUUCUAGCAACUUUGGAAUUUCUUAUGCCAUGGCUUUUGCAGACGUUAAUACCCCAGGAUCCACUAGAGUUCCUCCAUUUGGAGGGUAAUUUGUCACCAACCAUUAACAUUAUAUCACAGAGAAUCUGAGAACAAAAUGUCACCUUAAAUCUUUGUAAAUUAAACCAAUUCAGCAUCAAAGUGUGUAUCUUAUAAAAAGACAUGCAUAAUGAGGCAUGGGAUACUUCAUUUACCUCGAUUUCAUUAAAAGAUGAUUGUGCAAGAAGCUCAGCAAACAGUGGUCUCAGAAUUUUGACGAUGAGUAACACUUUGAUUCUUAUUUGGUGAUCAUCAAUCCUGGAAGCUUCUUCAAAUUCUUCAUCCAAUUCAUACUCGAGUGUGGAGACUGACAACAAAUCUUCAAGCAACCCAGAGGAGUUUGAAUUCUUCAAACUAAUUGCAAUCAAUUCCUUCAAGCACAAUAAUGCUAAAUGAAGAUGUUCCUUUCGGUCUUCAAAAUCAUUCUUCCCCUUCAUCUCUUUUUUAUGGUCUGUUGCAAACUUUGGCCCUGAAUUGAGCAAGCAAAUCAAUUUCAGCAAAGGCGGUGCCAUUAAUUUGAUUUCCCCAUAGAUUAGAUUCUUAAUUGGAUCUUCUUUUCUUCCAGUGGCAUAAGAUCUUAUAUGAUGAAGGGAACUAUUCAGGACAAAAGGAACAAUCUUAAAGCAUUUCAAUGUCCCACUUGAAGAUGACUGGCUAUGGUUCUGGGAAGCUGUGGAGCCUUUAAACCAUUCAUUAUUGCACAGGUCCAAUGUUGUUUUCAUUAGCUGACAAAGACUUGAAGUUGCCAAAAACGGAAUCUGUUCUUGAGUCAUUGUGUUAUUGCUGAAAAAACUAUUACCAGGCACAUCAAGAGUAGUAGCUUGCUGACUCCCUCUUUUGACACCACAGCUCUGCCUUGCAGAUGUAUACUUCUUCAGUGUUGAAUGAAAAUUAACUAUCUCGAGAAUUUCCUUUUGGA